ensembl:lncRNA
AGGUGUUCAGUCAGUCGUGAAUCAUGAGGGUGGACAUCAGCAGCUGCCUGUUGGUCUUGAUCCUGGGCUUUAAUGUCACUGCAGUAAUGAGCGGGAGGGGCUCCUUCUCCAUGCCUCGUGUUCGCCUUCCGGUGUUCAAACCUCCGCCUCCAGUGUACGUCCCUCGUCUUCCAGAAAUCAAUCCUCGCCUUCCACAAUUCAAUUAUCGCCCUCCAGUGUACAACCCUCGCCCUCAAGAAUUUAACUUUCGCCCUCCAGUGUCCAUCCCUCGCCUUCCACAAUAUAAACCUCCCCCUCCAGUGUCCAACAGUCGGCUUCCAGAAAUCAAUCCUCGCCUUCCACAAUUCAAUUAUCGCCCUCCAGUGUACAACCCUCGCCCUCAAGAAUUUAACUUUCGCCCUCCAGUGUCCAUCCCUCGCCUUCCACAAUAUAAACCUCCCCCUCCAGCGUUCAACGGUUGGCUUCCAGAAAUCAAACCUCGCCCUCCAGUGUCCAACUCUCGCCUUCUAGAAUUCAAACUUCGCCUUCCAGAAUUCAACUUUCGCCCUCCAGUGUACAACUCUCGUUCUCCAGAAUUUAACUUUCGCCCUCCAGCGUCCAUCCCUCGCCGUCCAGAAUUCAAACCUCCACCUCCAGUGUCCAACUCUCGGCUUCCAGAAAUCAAACCUCGCCCUCAAGUGUCCAACUCUCGCCGUCCAGCAUCCAAACGUCACCAUCUAGAAAUCGACCCUGAACUUCUGGAGCUUAUCUUUGGCCUUCCAGCGUCCAGCCCUAACCCUCCAGCGCCCGACCCUACAACAUCCAGUCCUAACCCUCCAGCAUCCAACCCUAACUCUCCAGCGUCCACUCCUCGCCCUCCAGUGUUCCAUCAUCCUCGACUUGCAGACAAACAAAACAUUCAACGAGUUCUUGCAGACCCAGACAGAUUCUUAUGUUACAGAGAGUCAGCGCUGCAACUUCCCGCUAUCCAACCAGAAGAAUGCCAAAAACCCUUCGAUCAGAACAUGUCCAUCAUUCUCAGCUGUCCUCCGUCUGUGGAGGGAAACGUGAUGUGGAGCAGAGAGACAAAUGGAAGCAAAGUUGACAUACUGACAGCUGAUGGUGACAAAGGAAAGAAACACAUCCAGGACCUGGACGGACGAUACAGUUUACUGGCAAAUAAAUCACUUCUUAUUGUCAGAGCUGCUGUCUCUGACGCUGGAAGAUACUUCUGUAACAGGGAAGCAGCUGGGGAGCUGACCGUGAUGAAUUCAGUUGCUCCUAAACACCACAAACAUCAUGAUUUGAUGGAUGAAGUGUCCACUGUCGACUACGGCAUCCUCUUCCUUGGCUUAUUCGCCAUUGCCUUCCUCGUCGUCCUCCUGUUGACUGUGUGUUACGGGUACCGCAAACAAAGUAAAUACAGUCUGACCUGAACUUGUUUGCAAACAGUUGCUUCUCACCACAUCCUGUUAGUCAUCAAAUUGAAAAGUCGUUAAUCAAUGAUUAUUCCCCGGAUUACUAAGACUCUGACAUCCAUGUUUUCGUUUGUCAGGAAAUAAAGGGAAACGGCACGUCCAGGAAGAGAUGCAGGAUGGAUUAGAAUGUCAACCUAGAAAUGGUAAGAACUCAACGUUUCUGCACAACCACAAAAAAAAGUCCAAACUGAACUUUUCCGUAUGAUGAUGUUUGACGCAUGUUUAACUUCAGUUUUCUAUUCCUCUCUCAUCAGAAUACUCUGCUUAGCUUUGGGCACAAAAAAACACAUGGUUGAAGAAAAAACAUCAUGUUUGGCUUCGAAAAGGCUUCAAUCGGCUGGAAAUGUCCCCGGGUCUUCUUAGAAAAACAGAAUAAUGGUGAUCAUCGAUUGUACCAUUGUAAUAAAAACAAAUAAAGCUCUCUCUCUCUCUUUUUUUGAUUCUGAUUUAUUCACAAAAACUACAAAAUGCACCUUUAACCAAGCAACACAGUGUAGGACAAAGACUGAGCAGUUUGAAAUACAUAAAACACAUUUUCCAUCACAGUCAACAGUGAGCUUUUCUACCAAAAUGGUUCUUAACGGAAUUCUUAAUCUUAUAAAUAACUUCAGUAACAAACAGCUCGAGGUAGAAAUGGUUAAAAGGUUCAUUUCAUUGUCUGGUUUGUUAAUUUAAGAUGAAUACUCUUCAUGCUACAGAAGGAAAAUGUUGAAUUUGUUGAAGUGAACAGUAAGUCGUACAUUUUGUUAAAGCCUCAAAAACAUUUUUACAACCAACAUCUUUUAUCAGAGGAACCUUUAAAUAUAUAGUUUCUUGGCUAUAUACACCAAAUAUUAUUCUAUAAGACUGAAGCUAAAGCUAUGGCCACUGAAAGCACAGUCCUCCUUGGCAGAGGUUUUAAAAUGCAGAGCCAAAACCACCAGAAGAGACUGUUGAGGUGUGCAGGACGUCCAGCAGCUCCGUCCACCAGACACCUGUGAGGAGACACCAGAGGACAGAGCAGCAGAUAUCACAAACAUAAGAAUGAGAGCAACAAAACAACAGCUGAACAAUACAAAGUGUAUUUUAACAUCAGAUGUAAAUUCCUCUGUCAGAGGUUUCUAGAGAUUGUACCUCUUGUUUCUGUGUGACGGAGGAUCAGACGUCAUUUUCUCUUUGUGUCGCGCGUCGCUUCUGUUUCUGUCGAGCUGCCAAAGACAGAAGACGAACAUGGAGACGACAUUUUAAUUUAACUUCUGUAUUAACUUCUUAGUUUGUUUGCAGAAUAUCUUAUAAACACUUCUUCAGGUUCAGUGACGCCUGGUAGAAA